rnacentral:rRNA from 1 species
UACGGAGGGGGCGAGCGUUAUUCGGAAUUAUUGGGCGUAAAGGGCGCGUAGGCGGCCUGAUAAGUCAAAGGUGAAAUCCCUCGGCUCAACUGAGGAACUGCCUUUGAAACUGUCGGGCUUGAGGCCGGGAGGGGGUAGCGGAAUUCCCAGUGUAGCGGUGAAAUGCGUAGAUAUUGGGAGGAACACCAGUGGCGAAGGCGGCUACCUGGACCGGUUCUGACGCUGAGGCGCGAAAGCGUGGGUAGCAAACAGG